ensembl:lncRNA
UGCAGAAAUAUAAACCAUAAAAAGAAAGGACUGCACAUACAUUUGUUUUUGCUCAGAAUUUUCACAAGAACCACUGAAAAAUGCAAAUCAAGACUGAUGCUGCCAAGGAGGAUCCAUUUUUUCAGUAUGGUAGUGACCUCGUGGAGUCUUCCAUUACGUAAAGUAUAAGUCCCCAUUGCUGGGCCAGUACAGGGCUCCUCCCUUGUUCAUCAUGCACCUCGGAGCACGGUGCAAGGCUCCUUCAUGGUAUUUGGGCACCCGGAGGAUCUGCCUGAUUGUGCUUGGCCUCUGUCAAUCUGCUCCAAUUGUUGGUGAAAUCACACUAGUGAUGAUUUGUCAUGUUUUAUCUUAUUGAGCCUGCACAGUUUUAUGUUAAAGAACGGAUUGUCUAGCAAAUUGGAAGGAAAGCCCAGGUCAGCACGAG